rnacentral:rRNA from 1 species
GUCAGAGGGUGCAAACGUUGCUCGGAAUCACUGGGCGUAAAGGGCGUGUAGGCGGGCAGGAAAGUCAGAUGUGAAAUCCCUGGGCUCAACCCAGGAACUGCAUUUGAAACUCCCUUUCUUGAGUGUCGGAGAGGAAAGUGGAAUUCCUGGUGUAGAGGUGAAAUUCGUAGAUAUCAGGAGGAACACCGGUGGCGAAGGCGGCUUUCUGGACGACAACUGACGCUGAGACGCGAAAGCGUGGGGAGCAAACAGG